CUCACGGCAACGCUGGAUCCUUAACCCCCUGAGCAAGGCCAGGGAUCAAACCCACAACCUCAUGGUUCCUAGUCGGAUUUGUUAACCACUGCGCCACGACAGGAACUCCAGAACUCUCUCUUCUCUACAUUCCCUUCCUGGAAAUAGGGCCUGCCCCAGACCCUCUCAGACUCAUCUGUAGCUUGCUCAUGUGUCCCGGAUUGCAGUUCCUCUGCUAUUCCCAAAUAAUCUCGUCUCUGUGCGUUUACCUCUCUAUUUAGGUUGACAAGUAAAUUCAAUGAGCAUCUAAGAUUAUUCUCUUCCUGUCUUUUUCUAACGUCUUCAGAAUUCAUUUUCACAUUUACUCCAGAUUUUUGCCAGCAUAAAUUCGCAACGUCUUGCAAUUAUUAGGAGCUAAAUUCCUUUUCUUCUUGCUUAAAUUUGUAAUUAUCUCUCAGGGAAUUUCUGGCAUUGCCAGAUAUUGUCUGAUUCUAACUCAGCAUCAUCCCUGCCCUUCUAAGAGCUCCCUUGUGUUACAAUACCCAGAAUCUACAAACUACGUUUCCCAGAAUCUACAAACUACGUUUCCUUGCCAGCAGAGUGAUGGUUUUGAUUCUUCUAAUAAGAGUGAUUUAUGAUAGAUUUUGGAAAGGUGGAAGACAGCAGAAAUCAUUAUUGUUCAACUUCAGCAAGCAGGCAUGUGGUCUUCAGCAGGCCUCAGAUGUGAGAUUUUGCAGUGGCUUCUAGGCUCUCUGCUGAGCUCCAUCUGCUUUGUGCACUAGGCUGUUGAGAUCACUGGUAGCAGUUUCCUGUGAUUCCUGCAGUUUUCUGAUGUCCAGAGGCAACUGAUGGCCUUCCCUGUCCACUGCCCUCUUCAGUGCUUUCAAAAGUUUUGUAGGAGUUCCCACUGUGGCACAGUGGGUUAAGAAUCUGACCACAGUGGCUCAGAUCACUGCAGAGGUGCGGGUUCAAUCCCCAGUCUGGUGCAGUGGGUUAAAGGAUCUGGCGUUGCCGCAGCUGCAGCAUAGGUCACAGCUGCAGCUGGAAUUCAGUCCCUGGCCUGGGAACUUCCAUGUGCUACAGGUGUGCCCCCACCCUUCCAAAAAAAGUUUUGUAAACACUUAAUUCCUUUUGUUAAUACUUUCCUUAAAUGCCUAGAGUGGUUUCUGAUUCCUGACUACAGACUGAUAGAAUAUGAUCUGACUCUAGCUACUGACAACUGUUGAGGUAUAGUCACCAAUCAGAGCAGAUGCUAAGCUAAUCAAUAUAGAUUCCAGGUAUGAGCAACCAGUCCAGCUUCACUGAUAGUUCCAGCUGAUGGCUUAUAAACAUUUGGAGAUGGGGAGAGCAUGGCAGCCACAGACCCUGCCUUUGGCAUCUCUUUCAUCUGGCUGUUACUGAAUUAGAUCCUUUUAUAACAAACUUGUAAUCUGGUAAGUGAAAUGGUUCUCUGAGUUCUAUGAGCUGUUCUAAUAAAUCAGUCAAGCCCAAAGAGGGGGUUGUGGGAAGUGCUGAUCUAGAGCUGGUUGGUCAAAAGCACAGGUACAAUUUAGACUUUCUAUUGGCAUUUGAAGUGGGGGCAGUCUUGUGCAACUGAGCUCAACCUGUGGGAUCCGAUACCAUCUCCAGGUAGAUAAUGUUAAGAAUUGAGUUAAAUUUGUGGGACACCUGGUUAGUGUCUGCCGAGAAUUGGAGACUUGCUUGGUGUUGAGAAAAACAAAACUAAACACAUUUCAGCUGAUAAAAGAGAUGCAGUGGGAGUGGGGAUUGAAAGUGUUCCAGAUCUAAUAUAGUUCUCCAAUUUCAAUUACAGGGUUUCAGUUUUUCUUUUCUCUCUCUCUCUCUUUUUUUUUUUUUUUCUUUUUUUUUUUUGGCCACCCACAUGAUAUGUGGAGGUUCCCAUGCCAGGGAGUGAACCCGCACCACAGCAGUAAUCCAAGCCACAGCAGCGACAACACUGGAUCCUUAACCUGCUGAGCCACCAGGAAACUCCAGCUUCAGUUUUUCUUGAUCAGUGCCCUAUUUUGCAUACCCGAAAGAGAGCAAGGCCUUAGGCUUACUAGUGUCAGAAUUCAGUAAGUUUAGGGGUCUGAUUUUGCAUUUAUUUUCCAGCUUUCUUAAUCCUGUGGUUUCAGAAAAGCAGAUAUGUUAGCAUGGAUUUCACAGUGACAGAAGCCAUAAAUUUAGGAAUCUAAGCAGUCAUUCUUCUACUUUAAGCUUUCCAGGACAAUUAGAAAAGCUACCCCACGCCACUGUCCUUGAGUUCCUCAGAACCUUCAGAGUGCUCUAUGGCUAUAGCCACUUAGUUGCCACUGCCUAUAAUGGCACUUUAUUUCAGGUCAGUCACCACAGGUGGCAAUUUAGUUAACUCUUUGGCGACUAAGUCCCGUGGAUUACCAGGUCACAUCACUCAAUACUCACUGGAUUUUCUGUACCUUCAGCUCCAGUUACAUCAUGUAACUAACCUAUGAAUCCCCUCUCCAUUUCCCUGAGGUUCUAUUGCCUACAACCAUGUCUUAACCAACGUCCGUAUCAUCAUUCUCAAUUGCAAGUUUCAGAAACUGGCAGUUCUCAGAAGAGAAGGAAUAUAUUGAAAGUAUGUCACGUGGUUCACGACACCUCUAGGCUAAAAAGACUGGAACAAGGCAUCGCCAGCUACUUCUGCACGGUUGCCAAUGGAAACCAGAUAACUGGACUCUGACUGAAGCAGACAUGCCACCUUACGUCUUCCAUGAGAAGGACCGUAGGUUUCUGGCACAGUCCAAGUGUCCAGAGGAUUGUCAACACUCGUAUCAAUGGGCCCGUAGCUCCUGGAUUCCAGGGAAGGCAUCACUCCUCGUGGCUCUUACCCUCCUCCUGGGGUCAGCAGAAAGGCUGGAGCAGCUCUUCUCACAGAAGGGUCAAGAGGUCAAGUGGAGGCGUGAGAAGCAUCUUCGGGCCUAUGCUUGACACUGGCACAUUGUCCCUUGUUGGCCUAAGAGAGUGACAAAGACAAGAAAUGGGGACGUGCACUCUAUACAUGGACAUGGUGAUAGGAGAGGGGAUUCAUAGCUCUGAUCUAAUCUCUCUCUCUCUACAUCUGUGUACAUGUAUGUAUCUACAUUUAUCCAUCUAUAUACAUCUAUCUCCACAGCUACAUGUAUAUACAUUACCUAUUUAUCUCUACAUCUAUCUAUCUAUCCAUCUACAUCUAUAUACAUCUGUCUGUCUCUACAUCUACAUACAGGCAUAUAUUUACACUUAUCUAUCUAUCCAUCUACAUAUAUCUGUCUAUCUACAUCUAUUUAUCUGUCUAUAUAUUUAGAGAUAUUCAUUUCUAUGUGUAUAUAAAGAGUUUUAAAAAAGGAUAGACCACAAAUUAAUGGGAGUUUUGUGAACAUGGUAGAUUUUAAAAUCAUUUUUAUUUUUUCUUUAAAUUUUUGCCAUACGUACCCUGCUUGGUGUAAUCUUAUAACAACAAUAAAGACAUUUUAUUGCGGAAUUAAAGUAAUUCUUUCAGAAGAGGGGCUUCUGGGGAGAAGAAAGAGCUGUCUAAGCAGAGGAAGCCCUCCAGAGUCAGGUCAGCUUUACCCAGAGCCAUGAAUCUAAAAAUAACUUAAGCAAAAUAUUUUCUGUUGUCGUGCAAAACCGCAUUAAGUUGAGUCAUGUCGGUACUGAGCUAUAACUUGCCAUGUUAUCAUCCUCACUUAAUUUGAUCAUCCUAAUUUAAUAAUUAUCUUAUAAUCCAUAAGAAAACAAAGCAGUGGAUCCCCAGAACCUAACUGAUCUCUAAUCCCUCAGGGAGCUUUUCAAAUUGUGUAGAUUUCAAAGCAAUAAGUGGAGGUAAACCAAAGCAGACACAGGCCCUCCAACAAGCUUGUCAAGUUUGUCUCAAUGUGGAGAAGCAAAACCAAACUGACAGAUUCUUAACAAUCUGGACCAAUUUUCAAGAUCUCUCUCUUACAGCCAAAGGAAGUUGAAAUUUACACCAAUCCAAGGUUGUUUUGGAGACUAUUUUUGUGGACCAAAUUUACUCAGAAGUUUUAUGAAAACAGCUACACAUUCACUUCCAACUUGAACUAGUGAAGUGCUUUAAAAUCCUUUAAAUCUGAUAAACAAUGAGAUCCUGCUGUCUAGCCUUGGGAACUAUAUCUAGUCACUAUGACGGAACAUGACGGAGGAUCAUGUCAGAAGAUGAAGGGGACCAAUGAGAGUAUUGGGGACUGAAUGAUUCUCCCUCCAAAAUACCUCAUGUGAUGGUAGAAAUAACUGGAUACAGAUGAAAUCAUGGAAAUGGGACCUGCAUGCAUAAGAGCAAGAAGAUAGCCAUUGACAAGCAGCAAGAGGGUCCUCACCAGAAGCUGAAUCUACUAGCACCUUGACCUUGGACUUCCUGGCCUACUGAACGCUGAGAAAUAAAAGUCUUAAGUCUGUGGUAUUUUGUUAUGAGUCUGAGCUGAUUCAUACAGAUAGGUUCAAGAGAGAAGUAGUCAUGGGACGUAAUCCUAGAAAGAUGUGAUGGAGCAUGUAGUCAGAAAUAAAAGUAAAAUGAGUACAAGUGAAUCAGCUGGUCGUGUGAGAUCCAAAAGUAAAAGGAAUGUAUGAGACUUCUACUUCCGGUCAUUACUGGAAUAAUUGAAUUUCCUCUCCUACCUACAAUAAGAAAAUCAGACAAAACAUGUUUUUAAGAUUUUUCUUUAUUUUUGGUUUUCAACAGUUUGACUCUAACAUGCUAACUAGCUGUGGUUUUCAUUGUAUUUAUGCUGCUUGGGGUUUGUUGAGCUGACUGGAUCUGCAAAUUAAUAUUUUCCACCAAAUAUGAGGAAAUUUCAGCUAUUAUUCAUAAAAUAGUUUUCCUAACCCAUCCUCUCUCUUCUUUUAUUCUGGGACUCCAAUUACAUUGGCUCUAUAGGUUUUUGAAAUGGGUCAAUAUUUUUUUCUUUGCUCUUCAUAUUGGAUCAUUUCUUUUGAUCUUUUUAGAGUUCCUUGAGUCUUUCUUCUGCCAUCUCAGAUGUGAACUGUCCAUUUUUAUCAUUCUGCUCUUCACUCUUUAUUUCUAUUUGUUCUCUCUCUCUCUCUUUUUUUUUGUCUUUUCUAGGGCCACACCCACAGCAUA